CAGUCGCCGCGGUAAUACGAAGGGGGCUAGCGUUGCUCGGAAUGACUGGGCGUAAAGGGCGCGUAGGCGGCGGCCAAAGUCAGGCGUGAAAUUCCCGGGCUCAACCUGGGGGCUGCGUUUGAUACUUGGUUGCUUGAGUGGGGAAGAGGGUCGUGGAAUUCCCAGUGUAGAGGUGAAAUUCGUAGAUAUUGGGAAGAACACCGGUGGCGAAGGCGGCGACCUGGUCCUUUACUGACGCUGAGGCGCGAAAGCGUGGGGAUCAAACAGGAUUAGAUACCCCCGUAGUCCCUGUCUCUUAUAC
rnacentral:rRNA from 1 species